GGUCCUAUGGUGUAGUGGUUAGUACUCAGGACUCUGAAUUCUGCAACAGGAGUUGAGAUCUCUAUGGGAUCU
rnacentral:tRNA from 1 species